CGCCCCGCCGCUCACGCUGCUGCCGCCGCUCCGCGCCGCCGGUGGCAGUCGCGCCGUCCUCCGGCGGUUACCGAUCUCCGCUUAUUCACUCGUGGCGCGACCUGUCUGUAGGGAGGGUGUGUGUCCCGUCCUGCCAGACGGCGCUGCGCCCUCCUCUCGCGGCAGCAAGCUGGCCAGCGCGCUCAAUCCCUGUAUCCAAUGAAGAUAAUAAAUUCAGAAAGUGAAUUCAGAAUUCUGAUACAUGAGAGUUCACAUCAGAAUUCCCAGCAAACUCAUGAUAUCGCCAAGCCAAGACAAAACUGGUAUUUCCUGAGGUUUCACGUUUCACAGAAUGCAGAGAUAUCUGGUGACCAGGUUCUGGAAGAGCCAGCAGUUUGGAGAGAGUGGAAAAAGGAUUGGUCCCAGGGGAACAGUUGUUACUGAGAGAUACAGCUACC
ensembl:lncRNA